rnacentral:sRNA from 1 species
GCCACCCCCGGGAAUCCCGCGCUGUACUCCAGAGCUCGGCUUGGCCCCCCUAGCCCCCCAGCUGCCCAUGAAUUGGAGUCCCUUGUGCACCCCCAUCCCCAGGACUGGUCCCCGCCACCCUCAGACGUGGAGGACAGGGCUGAAGUGCACAGCCUUAUGGGUGGCGGUGUUUCUGAAGGCCGGAGUCACUCCAAAAGAAAGAUCUCCUGGGCUCAACCAAGCGGGCUGAGCUGGGCUGGUUCCUGGGCAGGCUGUGAGCUGCCCCAGGCAGGCCCCCGGCCGGCUCUGACCCGGGCCCUGCUGCCCCCUGCUGGAACUGGGCAGACGCUGUUGCUGCAGGCUCUGGUGUACGACGCCAUAAAGGUCAGCGUCCUGGAAGGAAGGGGCAGGAAAGGAGGAAAGGGUCUCUGUGCUUGUGAAGAGGAAGUAAUGAGUUCUCUGGAGACCCCUGGGUGGUAACUUCCCUGGG